rnacentral:ribozyme from 13 species
AAAGAGAAAGAAAGAAAGGCACGUGAAGAAAGAAAGAAACAAGAGAAGAAGGGCCAAGUUGUUAUCCCAUUGGAUGACUCUUAUCCUCUUUUG